rnacentral:rRNA from 1 species
AUUGAACGCUGGCGGCAGGCCUAACACAUGCAAGUCGAACGAGUGGCGGACGGGUGAGUAAGAUCUGGGAAACUGCGCGAUGGAGGGGGAUAACUACUGGAAACGGUAGCUAAUACCGCAUACCAUCGGAUGUGCACAGAGGGGAUUAGCUAGUAGGUGGGGUAACGGCUCACCUAGACGACGAUCCCUAGCUGGUCUGAGAGGAUGACAUGCCACUCUCGAACUUAGACACGGUCCAGACUCCUCAGGGAGGCAGCACUGGGGAAUAUUGCACAAGGGGCGCAAGCCUGAUGCAGCCAUGCCGCGUGUAUGAAGAAGGUCUUCGGGUUGUACAGUACUUUCAGCGAGGAGGCGUUACUCGCAGAAGAAGCACCGGCUAACUCCGUGCCAGCAGCCGCGGUAAUUC